rnacentral:misc_RNA from 1 species
AAGUCGUAACAAGGUUUCCGUAGUGAACCUUCGCUUACCGAGAGUUCGAAGACGAUUCGUUUCGGCUCGGCACGUGUCGUGAAGUUGGGUGUCUCUAGACAUUGGAUGCCACCUCUGACGGGGUUUGAAAUGGAUGUGCAACUCAAGACAGUUACCCCGCAGAGUUCCAGAAGCCUCUCCUUACCACAAAUUCGAUCCGGCCCAGAACGGAUCGUCAUUGAAAUAAAUCGAGUUUUCCAGCCCCACGUCGAAACUGUCGAGUUACGUACCCUUCCAGUUUCACUCUUAGAAAAUUGACAUCCGAGACCUCAGGGUCAAACCGAGGCUCGAGCAACCGAACAACUGUUAACAAUGGAUAUCUUGGUUCUC